rnacentral:rRNA from 1 species
CUCGUAGGCGGCCAACUAAGUCAGACGUGAAAUCCCUCGGCUUAACCGGGGAACUGCGUCUGAUACUGGGUGGCUUGAAUCCGGGAGAGGGAUGCGGAAUUCCAGGUGUAGCGGUGAAAUGCGUAGAUAUCUGGAGGAACACCGGUGGCGAAGGCGGCAUCCUGGACCGGUAUUGACGCUGAGGAGCGAAAGCCAGGGGGAGCAAACGG